UAUAACUUAAGUGAUUUUAGUCUAAAAUUUGUAUGUUCAUCAGUUUUUUUGGGAGUUAAUCAGACUCAUAAAACUUUGGGCCAAUGGUGUGUUGUGUUCAUGUCAUUCGGGGUGAAAGAGAUGGAUUUGGGGGAAGAUGUUGAUGCUGUUGAUGGUGGUUUGUAGUAUGAAUGGAUCGAGGCAUAUGGGGGUAGUUCACUCCUCAAAAUGAUUUAUAAGGCUCUAGAUUAGGUUGUGAAACUCUCGGAGUGCA